rnacentral:rRNA from 1 species
GAUGAACGCUGGCGGCGUGCCUAAUACAUGCAAGUCGAGCGAACGGACGAGAAGCUUGCUUUUCUGAUGUUAGCGGCGGACGGGUGUGUAACACGUGGAUAACCUACCUAUAAGACUGGGAUAACUUCGGGAAACCGGAGCUAAUACCGGAUAAUAUUUUGAACCGCAUGGUUCAAAAGUGAAAGACGGUCUUGCUGUCACUUAUAGAUGGAUCCGCGCUGCAUUAGCUAGUUGGUAAGGUAACGGCUUACCAAGGCAACGAUGCAUAGCCGACCUGAGAGGGUGAUCGGCCACACUGGAACUGAGACACGGUCCAGACUCCUACGGGAGGCAGCAGUAGGGAAUCUUCCGCAAUGGGCGAAAGCCUGACGGAGCAACGCCGCGUGAGUGAUGAAGGUCUUCGGAUCGUAAAACUCUGCUAUUAGGGAAGAACAUAUGUGUAAGUAACUGUGCACAUCUUGACGGUACCUAAUCAGAAAGCCACGGCUAACUACGUG